rnacentral:rRNA from 1 species
UACGGGGGGGGGCAAGCGUUUGUUCGGAAUUACUGGGCGUAAAGGGCUCGUAGGUGGCCAAACUAAGUCAGACGUGAAAAUCCCCUCGGCUUAACCGGGGAACUGCGUCUGAUACUGGAUGGCUUGAGUUCGGGAGAGGGAUGCGGAAUUCCAGGUGUAGCGGUGAAAUGCGUAGAUAUCUGGAGGAACACCGGUGGCGAAGGCGGCAUCCUGGACCGACACUGACGCUGAGGAGCGAAAGCCAGGGGAGCAAAGCGGG